UACGGGGGGAGCAAGCGUUGUUCGGAUUUACUGGGCGUAAAGGGCGCGUAGGCGGCCAGCACAAGUCAGUUGUGAAAUCUCCGAGCUUAACUCGGAAAGGUCAACUGAUACUGGCUCGCUAGAGUGCGGUAGAGGAGAGUGGAAUUCCCGGUGUAGCAGUGAAAUGCGUAGAGAUCGGGAGGAACAUCAGUUGCGAAGGCGGCUCUCUGGACCAGCACUGACACUGAGGCACGAAAGCGUGGGGAGCAAACAGG
rnacentral:rRNA from 1 species